UGGGGAAUUUUGGACAAUGGGCGAAAGCCUGAUCCAGCAAUGCCGCGUGUGUGAAGAAGGCCUUCGGGUUGUAAAGCACUUUUGUCCGGAAAGAAAUCCUUGGCUCUAAUACAGUCGGGGGAUGACGGUACCGGAAGAAUAAGCACCGGCUAACUACGUGCCAGCAGCCGCGGUAAUACGUAGGGUGCAAGCGUUAAUCGGAAUUACUGGGCGUAAAGCGUGCGCAGGCGGUUUGCUAAGACCGAUGUGAAAUCCCCGGGCUCAACCUGGGAACUGCAUUGGUGACUGGCAGGCUAGAGUAUGGCAGAGGGGGGUAGAAUUCCACGUGUAGCAGUGAAAUGCGUAGAGAUGUGGAGGAAUACCGAUGGCGAAGGCAGCCCCCUGGGGCCAAUACUGACGCUCAUGCACGAAAGCGUGGGGGAGCAAACAGGAUUAGAUACCCUGGUAGUCCACGCCCUAAACGAUGUCAACUAGUUGUUGGGGAUUCAUUUCCUUAGUAACGUAGCUAACGCGUGAAGUUGACCGCCUGGGGGAGUACGGUCGCAAGAUUAAAACUCAAAUGAAUUGACGGGGUCAUAGCUGUUUCCU
rnacentral:rRNA from 1 species